rnacentral:rRNA from 1 species
AUUGAACGCUGGCGGCAUGCCUAACACAUGCAAGUCGAGCGGAGCGGCGGACGGGUGAGUAAUGCCUAGGAAUCUGCCUGGUAGUGGGGGCUAACGUCCGGUAACGGACGCUGAUACCGCAUACUAUCAGAUGAGCCUCAGUCGGAUUAGCUAGUGGGGGGGGUAAAGGCCUACCAAGGCGACGUUCCGUAACUGGUCUGAGUGGAUGACCAGUCAACCUGGAACUGGGACACGGUCCAGAAUCCUACGGGAGGCAGCAGUGGGGAAUAUUGGACAAUGGGCGAAAGCCUGAUCCAGCCAUGCCGGGUGUAUGAAGAAGGGCUUCGGGUUGUAAAGCACUUUUAGUUGGGAGGCGUUACCAACAGAAUAAGCACCGGCUAACUUCGUGCCAGCAGCCGCGGUAAUAC